rnacentral:rRNA from 1 species
UACGUAGGGUGCAAGCGUUAAUCGGAAUUACUGGGCGUAAAGCGUGCGCAGGCGGUUCUAUAAGACAGAUGUGAAAUCCCCGGGCUCAACCUGGGAACUGCAUUUGUGACUGUAGAGCUGGAGUACGGCAGAGGGGGAUGGAAUUCCGCGUGUAGCAGUGAAAUGCGUAGAUAUGCGGAGGAACAUCGAUGGCGAAGGCAAUCCCCUGGGCCUGUACUGACGCUCAUGCACGAAAGCGUGGGGAGCAAACAGG